UGGGGAAUAUUGCACAAUGGGCGCAAGCCUGAUGCAGCAACGCCGCGCGAGGGACGACGGCCUUCGGGUUGUAAACCUCUUUUAGUAGGGAAGAAGCGAAAGUGACGGUAUCUGCAGAAAAAGCACCGGCUAACUACGUGCCAGCAGCCGCGGUAAUACGUAGGGUGCGAGCGUUGUCCGGAAUUAUUGGGCGUAAAGAGCUCGUAGGCGGUCUGUCGCGUCUGCUGUGAAAACCCGAGGCUCAACCUCGGGCCUGCAGUGGGUACGGGCAGACUAGAGUGCGGUAGGGGAGAAUGGAAUUCCUGGUGUAGCGGUGGAAUGCGCAGAUAUCAGGAGGAACACCGAUGGCGAAGGCAGUUCUCUGGGCCGUAACUGACGCUGAGGAGCGAAAGCGUGGGGAGCGAACAGGAUUAGAUACCCUGGUAGUCCAC
rnacentral:rRNA from 1 species